UUGUUUGCAGAAAAAUUUCUUCAAACUGGAAAAGAAGAGAGAAGAGCUCUUUAUGUUUCUGGCAUUUUUCUCCAAUUGACUGCACAUGACCUCGAGCAGAACAAUCCAGCCAAGCAAAAUACGAUGAGUCGAGGCUUCAGAUGUGCUGUUUGACUGAAUCCUCUGAGGACUCUCCACCCAUCCCCACGGCUGGAUAGCAGCGGAAGGACCUGGCCAUUUCUGCCUGGUUGCACUGAUUCAGAAAUUAUUGGAGUGCAAGCAGAAGUGAGACACAGACAUCUAGAGGGAAGAGCAGGCUGCAGCCAGUGCCAAGGGAAGCACAAGAGUGUCCAUUUAAAGAGCUGAGUGUUAACCAACCUCCACUCCAGCUGCAGCUAGCAGCCAUCGGAUGGUCUCCAUUCGCCCUCUUCCAUUGAUAUAGGUGAGCCUGGGCUUCCCUGACAUGCUUCUGAGCUCCCGAUGCCUUGAGAAUUUUUAAGCUGAAAACAAAGAUCUCAAAAAGCAAGUGGCCUGCAUCAGAAGCUGAGUCUUGGAUACAUUUGGAUACGCACCCAUGCGCCUGCUGCCACUGGAGAUGGGCAGAUACCAUUCCAAACCUGCAGGAUCUUUGUCCUGCUGAAAAGACAGCCUGGUGCUUGGCAGGAAACUCAGGUGCAGUCAAGGUCUCAGCAUCACCACUUUGGUGGAAAAGCACAAAUCACCACUGCUUCAAGCACAAAAGUGAGUGGAUGUAUCUACAUACAUACACAUUUACCAUUUUUGUCUAAACUCCAUAUUUCUGUCCUGUUCUCUCAGUGCUUAAGAAUCUGCUUUACCCAGUGUGACUCACACUGCAGGAUUAGUUUCCUGAUUAAAAAGAUCUUUCUUGCUCCACGUGGUAGCCCAAACACUAAAGAAUAGAAGCCUGCACUUACCUUCUAUGCUCAGUCUCCACUGCUUUCAGGUACAGUCCCACCUCUAGUUUAACUUGGCAGCUCCUCCUAUGCCUGGGGAGUUCCCAGCCAUACCCAAUAAGAGAGAAAUAUUCCUACUGUCAUUAAUCUGACGUUAGGGAACUUAAAGGCAUAUGUAUCUGAAGGUGCCACUCAAGGCAGGGGCUCUUUUGCUGCUUGCUGAUUUGAUCAUACGAUGGGGUAGUCACACAGUUUCUAUCAUAGCCAUCUAUUCAAGCUCCUCUUUUGGAGCUACUGGGGUAUUUUAUACACAUAUAAGAGAACACACUCUAAAACACUGAGAACAUCGUAGGUUCUUCUGCAUCUUAUUUAAGAUAACUGCAACUUUUUAAAAACUAUCCAGUAAAUAUUCUAGGCCUAUCUUAACAGUAACCAAGGUACUUAUUUUCAGUGCUGUCUGGCAUAAAAAGAAUACCUAAAGUAGGGGAUAACAAUUCCCAACUACUUCUAAACACAGCUUGCUGAUGACAAUUUAC